GUUCUUUGAGCUCUUUUUUUUUUUUCGUUUUUUUUUUUCCCUCCUUUCUCCAUCGAAGGUCUCUCUCUAAUGGGAUCCUCGCACGGAGGUAGGGAUGAGACG
rnacentral:ribozyme from 14 species